GAUGAACGCUGGCGGCGUGCUUAACACAUGCAAGUCGAACGGAAAGGCCCCUCCUUUCAGGGGUACUCGAGUGGCGAACGGGUGAGUAACACGUGGGUGACCUGCCCUUCACUUCGGGAUAAGUUUGGGAAACUGGGUCUAAUACCGGAUAGGACGUUGUGCUGGAUGCUAUUGUGGGAAGUUUUUCGGUGUGGGAUGAGCUCGCGGCCUAUCAGCUUGUUGGUGGGGUAAUGGCCUACCAAGGCGUCGACGGGUAGCCGGCCUGAGAGGGUGUACGGCCACAUUGGGACUGAGAUACGGCCCAGACUCCUACGGGAGGCAGCAGUGGGGAAUAUUGCACAAUGGGCGGAAGCCUGAUGCAGCGACGCCGCGUGGGGGAUGACGGCCUUCGGGUUGUAAACUGCUUUCGCUUGUGACGAAGCGCGAGUGACGGUACCUGGAGAAGAAGCACCGGCUAACUACGUG
rnacentral:rRNA from 1 species